rnacentral:rRNA from 1 species
UACGGAGGGGACUAGCGUUGUUCGGAAUUACUGGGCGUAAAGCGCGCGUAGGCGGGCUGGUCAGUUGGGGGGUGAAAUCCCGAGGCUUACCUCGGAACUGCCUUCAAUACUGCCAGUCUUGAGUUCGGAAGAGGUGAGUGGAAUUCCUAGUGUAGAGGUGAAAUUCAUAGAUAUUAGGAAGAACACCAGUGGCGAAGGCGGCUCACUGGUCCGAUACUGACGCUGAGGUGCGAAAGCGUGGGGAGCGAACAGGAUUAGAUACCCGGGUAGUCC